CCAUAAGAGAGAAAGUGAUGGGAGUAGGUCCAUUAUGAUGAUUAUGUACAAAAAAUCGUUAAACGGAUGCAAUUAGGUGUUUUUCGGCUCAUCUUAAAUAGAAAAAAAGAAAAAGAAAAAGAGAGAAAGGUUAGUACAAAACUUCGCCACACCUCUCAUAAUAGUGGGUUCAUACUGCAUGACCCAUCUCUUGUAAAGUUAUGUUCGAAAAUUGUGUAUGUAAAAAUACUGAAAAAAUUAAAAAAAAACAUAUUUGAAAAAUGUAAGAUAAAGACAAAAAAAACUAAUUUUUCUAACAUUUUUGUCGUUAGACCCUUUUUUAAAUACAAUCCAUUUUUUUAAAAAAAUUACUCUUGAUUUUUUUUUCAUUUUUGCUAAGGGCUUAAUUUUUCCACAAGACCAAGAUUAAUAAGGUUAAUGAUAGCAGCCAAGAUAUUAAUUCACUGCCUUGACUGAUGUGGGGGUUCUUUUGAAGAUAAGAGAGAUUGAUCGAAAGGGAAAUCAAAAAAAUUAUACAUCUUCGACGGCGAACGGCGUUACUGUCGGCAUGAUGGACCUAGCUGCAACCCAGGAGAGCUGAGAACAGGCCGUCGGAGCUCUGACGGACCCUCGACGGUAAGUUAGAAGACCGUGAGAUAAUAUGUAUAUCAAGAUUUGUAGCAUUAAGAGUAUAUGUAUUCUCAAACUUAGUAUGCCGUUGUUGUAUGUUAGAGAGAGAAAGUGUAUGUAUGUUCUUCUAGAUCCAAUUGCAUAUCCCUUGGUGAGAGAGAGGCAACAAACUCUCUCUUUUAUAGCCUGACUCAAACGUAGGAUACUGACCUAGCCAUUUGCCCUAAGGCUUGGUUGGUAGGUAGUCAUUCAUGUCUCUGAUUCAGACAUGGAGCUUGGAGAUGUCAAAAGGAAGCUUUUCGUGCAAGCCACCUCUCUGUCCCUGAAUGCCUGUGGGACCGCCCAUCACAGGUCACAUCUCGACCUGAGCUCAAGCAUCUCGGUCAGGCGUUCUAAACCUAAUCAGGUUGUCUGACCAUUAGAGCAGGCGUCUCAACCUAGCUCGGACACCUCGUCAAGCGUUCCGACCUCCUAGGCUCAAGUUCGACCUAGCUCAAGUGUCUCGACCUAGCUCAUGCAUCCUCGGGUAAGGCGUCUUCUCGACCAGUCAGGCAUCUGACCUAGCUCAAGCAUCUCCGGCAGGCGUCUCGACAUAGCUCAGGCAUCUCGCCAGCUCAGGACACCGCGGUCAGGAGGUCUUGACCUAGCUCAAGCGUCCGACUAGCUCAUGCAUCUCGGUCAGGGUCUCGGACCUAGAUCAAGCGUCUCGACCCUAGGAUCAGGCAUCGAUCUAACUCAGGCGUUAUCGAAUUAGCUAGGCAUCUCGACCUAGCUCAAGCGUUCUCGACCUAGCUCAGGCAUUCGCCUAGCUAUGCAUCUCGACCUAGCUCAGGCGGUUUAUCGGCCUAGCUCAGGCGUCUUGACCUAGAUCGGCUAGAGUAGCGUUAGUACUGAUAUUUUAGUCCCUUACAGUUGUGCUCUUUCCUCAGUUCGCAUGAAUUGGAUCAAAUGCUUAUCGAGGUCAUGUGAGCUGGAUAUUCAACAUAAAAUCUUCAUCGGGAGAGCUCUUGAGCGGGAGAGCGAGCUUCAUGAUGAACCAACGUUCAUGGGGGAGAGCUUGAUACUCACAGGGGCUCGGGAAGACUCUCUCUCAAGAAAAACGAUUAGUCGGAAAAGCUCAGGCUGGGGGGACGCUUUGGGAGCUCUCUCCAAAUAGACAAACUUGUGGAGGGAGAGCUUGGGGAGCUCUCUCCAAAUGGAUUUGUAGAUGUCUCUAGUUGAUUUCCCACAGACGGCGCCAAUUGUGGGGGUUCUUUUUGUAAGAUUAAGAUAGAGAGAGAUAGAAAGGAAAUCAAAAAUAUUACAUCUCGACGGCGAACGGCGUUAAUGUCGGCAUGCGGACCUGCUUGCAAACACAGGAGAGAUGAAGAACAGGGGCCGUCGGAGCUCUCGACGACCCUCCGGACGGUCAAGGUAGAAGACCGGGAGAUAAUAUGUAUAUCAAGAGUAAAGAUAAAGAGUAAUGUAUUCUCAAACUUAGUAUGCCGUGUAGAGAGAGAAAGUGUAUGUAGUUCUUCUAGAUCCAAUUGCAUACCUUGGUGAGAGCAAAAACUCUCCUUUCUAUAGCCUAGCUCAAAGGGUAGGCUACUGACCUAGCCAUGCCCAAGGCUGGUUGGUAGGUUGUCAUCAGGUCUCUGAUUUCAAGACAUGGAGCUGUUCAAAGGAAGACUUUUCGUGCAAAGCACCUCUUGUCCCUGACAUGCUUGGCGACGCUUCACAUGUCACAUCUCGACCUAGCUCAAGCAUCUCGGUCAGCGUCUCAACCUAACUCACGGUGUCUCGACCUAGAUCAGGCGUCUCAACCUAGAUCAGGAACCCGGUCAAGCGUUCCGACCUAGCCAAGCGUCUCGACCUAGCUCAAGUGUCUCGACCUAGCUCAUGCAUCUCGGUC
rnacentral:lncRNA from 1 species